CUCGCAAAGUGGCUGUCAUGUG
rnacentral:miRNA from 11 species